ACAGUUUGAAAAAGGAAUAAUACGAAAUGCCAUAGUUUCAACAAACUUAAAUAAGUACAUAAAAUUAGAAGAAAAAAAAAUAGAGAAAAAAAAUUAUAUAAUUUUCCGUGAACAAUGUGAAUAUUGUUUAACUAAUUUUUCUGUUAGUGGUCAUUUAAUUUUGACAAAAGAAUCAUUACUAUUUGAGCCUGAUUUAAGAGAUAAACAUGUGAUUAUGUAUGGUUUAGGUACAUAUCAGAUAUUUAUUGAUUUAUAUGACAUUUAUGAAUGUGCUCAUAUAGUUGUUCCAACUAAAAAUAUAUAUUUAUAUACCAAUGAAGAUACUUGUGGAUUUAUUCAAGUUUUAUUAAAAAGUAUUUAUAAUAGAAUAUGUGAUGAACCAUCAAUACGUAAUAGGAGUAGUUCAAGUUAUUCAAUCAAUAUUAAUUCAAGUAAUAAUACUAGUGAUGAUACUACAAAUAAACAAAAAGGAGUAUCAUAUUAUAAAUAUAUAAGUAAAAGUUUAUCAUAUGUAUUUAAUUUAGCUCAUCCAUUAAUGCAAAAUACAUCAUUAAAAGAUAAUAAAAAUGAUUUUAUUGAUAGACCUAAGUCACCAGUAAAUAUAUCUAAACAGUUUGGGAAUAGUAAUGAUCAUAAUAUUUUUAAGAAUAAUAAUAAUAAUAAUAAUAGUAGUAGUAGUAGUAAGAAAAAUAGUAGUAAUAGUAGUAGUAAUAAUAGUAGUAAUAAAAAUAACAGAAGUGAAUAUGAACGCCUAGAAACUUUAAACAAAACAAAACAAAACAAAAUUAUAAAUUUUGAUAUAACAUCACCGAAAAAUAAUAAUAUUAUUGAUCAUUUGCAUGAUAGUGAUAUGAAAAUUUACCAAAAAUUUAAUGAAACAAAUUAUAAUCAAGUAUAUUCCUCACAUCCUAAUAUAACUUAUAAAAAUAAUUUUAAUUUAGUUAAUUAUUCAAGUUAUUCUAAUGAUUUGGAAGAUGAUUCCAGUGAACAACAACAAAAAGAUCGGCAACAUCACCAACGUGAUCAGAAACAUGAUCAGAAACAUGAUCAGAAACAUGAUCAGAAACAUAAACAACAACAUGAACAACAACAUGAACAACAACAUAAACAACAACAUGAACAACAACAUGAACAACAACAUAAACAACAACAUGAAC
rnacentral:lncRNA from 1 species